UGGGGAAUAUUGCACAAUGGGGGAAACCCUGAUGCAGCGACGCCGCGUGAGCGAAGGAGUACUUCGGUACGUAAAGCCCUAUCAGCAGGAAAGAAAAUGACGGUACCUGACUAAGAAGCCCCGGCUAACUACGUGCC
rnacentral:rRNA from 1 species